rnacentral:lncRNA from 1 species
GUCCGGGGAGCGCCCGUCUGCCUGGGGCCCCCGGGCGGGGGGCGGGGGGCGGGGGGCGGCGUCGGGGCGGGACCCGGGCGGCGGCGGGACCCGGACGCGUGGCCGGCGGGGAAGCCUGGACGGCCCGGCUCGCGCACGGGGGCGGCUGGGAGGGCGCCCCGACCCCGGCCCCGACCCCGGCCCCGACCCCGGCCCCGACCCCGGCCCCGGCCCCGCCCCGAGCCGCCGAGCCGCAGAAGCCGCCCCCCGGGGCCGCGUCCCGCCAGCCCCCGGCACCGCCGCGCCCGCGCCCCGCGGGAUCCCCGCCCUCGGGCCGCCCGGGGACGCCCACCCGCGGGGACGCCGGGGUCGGGGCGCGGGGGCCCUCGGGAGCGCGAGGCCGCGGCCCUGCGCCUGAAGCCCCACUCGCUCGGGAACCGGCUUUCGGGAGGGGCUCGGGGCCGCGGCUUGGGGCGAGCCCCCGGCCCGGAACCCGAACUCGCUUCUGGGCGAGGCUCAGGGCUGCGCCCCCCGCCCCGCGCCCCGCGCCCCGCGCCCCGCCCCGCGCCGGGAGAGCUUCCCCAGGUGCCGGCCGCCCCCGUUCUGCAGGCGGACUCUCGGGAAAGCCUCGGAGAGCCCUUCUGGGUGCCAAGGCCUAGGGGCGCCCCCCCCCCCGCCCGGCUGCCGUCCCCGGCUUUCUGGCUUAAAAACCCCGGGGGCCUCCUCCCGCCGCCGCCCGGCCUAGCCGGCCCCUCCCCGCCCCGGCCGAGCUCUCCUCUCCUAAAACAAGGGGAAUGGGCAGAUCUGCGCUGCGCGACGGGAGGGGGUGACCGGUUCCCACCCCGGUGGGAGGAUGGGUCCGAGGGGCCCUUAACCCUUCUGCAUCUGAAUGCCCCCCUGAAUGCCCCCCUCCUCCCAUCGAGGCCCCUCCUGGGAAAUUCUGCCUGGAUGCUUUCCCUUGGAAGUGACCGCUGCAAAGACAAACGUCAUCCGGUGGGAAGAAUUGGACAUUAUGUAGGGGAAGGGGCCCCUUCCGCUGGUUUCUACCACACCCAGUAUUUCAAGGUGGAGCAGGGAGGAGUUUCCCACGGAGAAAGGAGAGGGUUGGGGGGGCCAGGGUCCUGA